AAGUCGUAACAAGGUUUCCGUAGGUGAACCUGCGGAAGGAUCAUUCAUAAUCAAGUGUUUUUAUGGCACUUUAUAAAAAUCCAUAUCCACCUUGUGUGCAAUGUCAUCUCACUGGAGGUCGCGGCUGUAAAAAUCCGUUGGCCACCUUUGGGAUUUAUAUCUACUCAGAACUUUAGUGAUUUUGUCUGAACCAUAUUAUGAAUACUUAAUUCAAAAUACAACUUUCAACAACGGAUCUCUUGGCUCUC
rnacentral:misc_RNA from 1 species